UUCAGGAGCCAAUUAUAAACAUAUAUUGUUGUAUUAUUUGUUGUUACACAGCUUCCAGGAGAGCACAAACCUCACACUGCUUUGUCUGAGCAGUGCCAGCCACCCUACUGCUACUGCUUUUUGAAAAGGGCGUUUCUGAUGGGGGUGGUUAAGUGGGGUAAUACCCCUGGGCCAUGCAAGCCUUCCUGUGAUGUGUUAGUGCUCUUUCUGAAGUGUGCUCACCUGGACUCAUGUUUCAUAGAAGGCUGUACAAAUACCUUUGCCAAUGCUGGGUGGGGGGAAGUUAACACUGUCUGCUGUUAGGUACCCGCUAAGAGACUGGCUCAGCUCUGAGCCAGCAAACUCUCUGUCAGUCUUUUAGAAGGAAGAGGGGGCAAUUCAGAGCAGCGAAGUAGCUAGGCCAUGGCUCUGAAUCCUGCGUCCAGCAUUCCCUGCAGAGGAGGCCCAGGGAGUCUUAACUGCCUCCAGCCUUUAGACAUCUGAGUUUAGUACCUGGUUAGGUGUAUGUAAACCAUGCCAAAAAUUGCGAUGUUUGGCACCUUUUGCCAGCAUCCCAUUUCUCUGUGAUUGUGUCUCUUGAGCCGCUGUGGUGAGAGCGUUCACCCUUUGGCUUAGGUGAGCGUAUGGGUACUGGUGAGUAUUGGGUGCUGUGGAGGUGCAAUUGUGCUUUCAUGUGGAAUGUGAACCAUGCUGGUCCCUAAGUGACUUUCCAUACACCUUGCAAGGAUCUCCACUUUGUGCUGAAUGGUGCUAGAAGAAAUAGACAGUCUGAUGAUACAGCGCAGUGAAGCCUUGGAUCCAGCUGCUUUCAGAGGAAAAGGCAGCAGAGGAAAGCUGGUCUGCCUGGGCUGAACUAAGCAGCUUUCUCUGUUCUUGCCUGUCUGUGGAGUGAGGAACGCAAGUUUACAACAUCAGGGUAGCAAGAGACUGAGAGAAGGGGAUGGAAAAUACUGUUGAAAUCAUUGUCAAGGCAGGGUUGUGAGCCAAGGGCAGGCUGUGCCAAAGAACAGGCCAGGCUUUUGAGGAUGUGCCAGGUACAGCAGCAGAGAUAGCUCUGGAAGAAGACCCAAGAUGAGAGACCUGCCCUCAGUAGGAGUGACCCCUGCAACCCUGAGGUCACUGCUGAGCUGAGCAGAAGAGGGAGCACCUAUGUAGGAAUAGGAGGACCUGAGCUGUAACCAGUCCUUGGAGCACCGGUCGCCGGUGCUGCUUCUGGAGCAUUCCAGGAGCCAAAACAAGUAUUUGGGCCAGAGGGCUGCCUUGCAGCAGACUACGUAAUUCCUAGCAGAAAUACAGCUGUAGGAGCUGAAAUAGCAUAGCACUUAGCUUGAAUAGAUGCUAUUGUGUAUGGAGGCAAAGGUGGCCGUUGUCUUCUUGGAUGAUUUUUUUACCAGUGCUGUAGAGACCUUUCUCUUCCCUCUGCCAGGGCUGUGUAGUAGGGUGGCAGCAGUUUAUGUGCUCCUUAUCAGUAUUCCUGCAGGCUGCAUCACUGCCAGCCUUCUAGUGAGAUUGUGAUCAUAGUCUAAGGCUGUACACCAUAUAGUGUGUUGGACUGGCAGUAGUUUGUAGCUGGGACUGAAUUUUUUUUUUGUGCUCAAUAAAGGCAAUUUAUACUAUUCA